AUGUCGGCGUGUGAGAGAAGGAAGACGGCGUGCGUCACCGGAGGGAGCGGAUACAUCGCCUCAGCGCUCAUCAAGCUGCUCCUCCAGAAAGGCUACGCUGUCAAGACCACCGUCAGAGACCCCGAUGACAUGGAGAAAAACUCCCACCUCAAGGACUUGCAAGCGCUUGGCCCCCUGGAGAUCAUUCGUGCCCAACUGGAGGUGGAAGGCAGCUUCGACGAAGCAGUUUCUGGCUGCGAAUACGCCUUCCUCGUUGCUGCUCCAAUGACCUUCAGGUCAGAAGAUCCUGAGAGAGAUCUGAUCGAACCCGCCGUCCAAGGAACACUCAACGUGAUGAGAUCGUGUGUGAGAGCGGGGACGGUGAAGCGGGUGAUCCUGACGUCGUCGGACGCCGGCGUGUCCAGGAGGCCGCUCCAGGGCGGCGGCCACGUGCUGGACGAGGGCUCCUGGUCCGACGUCGAGUACCUCAGAGCCAACAAGCCACCAACUUGGGCGUACGCCGUCUCCAAGGUGCUUCUGGAGAAGGCGGCGAGUGAAUUCGCAGAGGAGAACGGCGUCAGCCUUGUCACCAUGUUGCCGGUGUUCACUGUGGGCACGGCGCCAGUAUCCAAGGCCAGAACUAGCGUCCCCGUCAUCCUCUCCUUGUUGUCCGGUGAUGAGGCAAAGCUGGGUAGCCUGAUGGUCCUGCAGUCAGUCAAGGACUGCGUUGGGAUUAGCCACGUCGACGACCUCUGUCGCGCCGAGGUGUUCGUCGCCGAGAAUGAGUCCUCGUCGGGUAGGUACAUCUGCUGCAAUCACAAUACCACUGUUUUGCAGCUUGCCGGUCUCCUGGCAGAGAAGUACCCACAAUACGACGUGAAACCUGAACGCUUUGAUGGAUCCUGCGAGAAGCCAAGAGUGUGUGUGUCAUCGAAGAAACUCAUCGGGGAAGGGUUCGUGUACAAGUAUGAUGACCUGGGUGAAAUCUUCGACGACCUAGUCGAGUACGGCAGAACCACAGGGAUUUUGCCCCACUGA
rnacentral:rRNA from 1 species